rnacentral:rRNA from 1 species
AGAGUUUGAUCCUGGCUCAGAUUGAACGCUGGCGGCAUGCUUUACACAUGCAAGUCGAACGGCAGCACGGGGGCAACCCUGGUGGCGAGUGGCGAACGGGUGAGUAAUACAUCGGAACGUAUCCUUGAGUGGGGGAUAACGCAGCGAAAGUUGUGCUAAUACCGCAUGAGCUCUGAGGAGGAAAGUGGGGGACCGUAAGGCCUCACGCUGAAGGGGCGGCCGAUGUCCGAUUAGCUAGUUGGUGAGGUAAAGGCUCACCAAGGCUUCGAUCGGUAGCUGGUCUGAGAGGAUGAUCAGCCACACUGGGACUGAGACACGGCCCAGACUCCUACGGGAGGCAGCAGUGGGGAAUUUUGGACAAUGGGGGCAACCCUGAUCCAGCCAUGCCGCGUGAGUGAAGAAGGCCUUCGGGUUGUAAAGCUCUUUCGUGAGGGAAGAAACGGCCAUAGUGAAUAGCUGUGGUUACUGACGGUACCUCAAGAAGAAGCACCGGCUAACUACGUGCCAGCCGCCGCGGU